GAUGUGUUUAAUAACAGUAUGGUUUUGAAAUGAAUAGUCAUAAUCCAAUAGGAAAAAUAAUAGGUAACCACAAUAACAAAAACGUCAGUCAAGCCUUUCAAAUGACAUUGCAAUGUAAAAACACAAUUUUAGCAUGAUAAUCUUAUAAGCAUACCAUGAACUAGUAAGGAACGUGGUGAACAACAUUUUCUCGUAAAUAUUUUUAAUCAAACAAUCUCAAAGUUUUGACUUCUGCUGGUAACCUCCUGAGUAGGACUGGCACACAAAGCAUGCAAAAAAAAAAUCAUCUCCAAUAUCACACAUUUUGAAUUCAUAUACAAUCUAUUUUCCCCUUUGUCAAUAACAACAAAUUGUAUUUAUUUAUUUUUUUAAACAAAGGCUUCAUUUGUGGAGUCUGAGAUGAUUUGAAAGAAUAACACUGCACUGGUGUGCCACAGCCAUUUACUGAGACAGCAGUACACUUCGAACUUAGAGAUUUCAAUAAUAUACAGAUAAACACAGUAACUACUUCUCUUUGUUCGUUGAGUUUCUCUCACUAGUUUUUCCAAUGGAAAAUAACUGCAGCUUGUUACAGCCAUGGCCACUAAUUAAAGAACAAGUUGCUCCUUUAUUAUUUCACAGCUAAUUUAGAAAGAUGAUGGUAGCAAGCCGAGAACUUUACUUUUAUUCAAUAAUCUUUAGUCUGACUCAAAUCAUCCAAAUGUGAUCACAAAAGUCAGAAUAUUAAAGAAAAGUAGUACCUUGUGUGAUCCCCAAAUCAUGAACUCAAACAAGACACCUUUCAUUGAAGGACAGAGUUUCCAAAACUUUACAGUAAUUAACUCUUUACAUACAGUGGCUGACUAUUUAUCUCACAAAUGUUCUUCUCCCUUUAUGUUGAGUCAACAAGCCUUUCUUGGAAUCUACACAUUUUGAAGUUGGCACAGAGUUGGGAUUUGAACAGUUUUUCACUCCAAAUGUGUAGAUCUAGAAUUGAGGUAGA